UACGUAGGGUGCAAGCGUUAAUCGGAAUUACUGGGCGUAAAGCGUGCGCAGGUGGUUGUGCAAGACAGAUGUGAAAUCCCCGGGCUCAACCUGGGAAUUGCAUUUGUGACUGCACGGCUAGAGUGUGUCAGAGGGGGGUAGAAUUCCACGUGUAGCAGUGAAAUGCGUAGAGAUGUGGAGGAAUACCGAUGGCGAAGGCAGCCCCCUGGGAUAACACUGACGCUCAUGCACGAAAGCGUGGGGAGCAAACAGG
rnacentral:rRNA from 1 species